rnacentral:lncRNA from 1 species
CAAGACCAGAGGAGCCACUUUAUCGAUCUGGGUGGUGCCAACUGAUCCAUCAAGUGCCAGCCUACACAUUAGCAUAAUGUGGAUUUUCCAAGCUACUUUUAUACAUGAAAUAAUAUAAGCUGUAAUGAGUGAAAGUAAGCACGGAUUUUUCAGCAGUACUUUCCAGAAAUUUUGAUGGAAGAUCAGCUUUUUGUAGCUGGAGAAGUUGGAUUAAAAAAUGACCACAGAGAAAUUGAAAGAUGUCCAGUAGAAGGUCUGUAGACUUCAUUCCAAUUCAGCAUAUCCAUGAGGUCACCAAGAAAUUAAGUCACCAAGAAGUUAAUUUCCUCAAGAAAGGACCCUUGAAGAAAGUUGCUAUUAUUAAGUCGAUUAGGGUGUAGUGGCAGGAAAAAAAGUAAGGACUGAUUUCUAAGAAACAUAAAAAUGAAAACAUUAAAGAAAAACCCUAAAUUUCAUUGAAGAAUAAAUUGUGGGACUGAG